CCUACGGGAGGCAGCAGUAGGGAAUCUUUGUCAAUGGGCGAAAGCCUGAUGGAGCAACGCCGCGUGCAGGAUGAAGGCCCUCGGGUUGUAAACUGCUUUUUUACGCGGGCAAUAUGAUGGUACCUUAUGAGUAAGGAUCGGCUAACUACGUGCCAGCAGCCGCAGUCAUACGUAGGAUCCGAGCAUUAUCCGGAGUGACUGGGGGUGAAGCGUUGCGUAGGUGGCAUAAUAAGUAGCUAGGGAAAUCUGGUGGCUCAGCCAUUCGGACUAUUAGCGAAACUGUUACGCUCGAGACCGGUAGAGGUAAGUGGAAUGUGUAGUGUAGGGGUGAAAUGCGUAGAUAUUAGGAAGAACACCGAUGGCGGAGGCAGGUUGCUGGGACGGUUCUGACACUGAGGCACGAAAGCGUAGGGAGCAAACAGGAUUAGAUACCCCAGUAGUC
rnacentral:rRNA from 1 species